rnacentral:rRNA from 1 species
UACGUAGGGUGCAAGCGUUGUCCGGAAUUAUUGGGCGUAAAGAGCUCGUAGGCGGUCUGUUGCGUCGGCUGUGAAAACCCGGGGCUCAACCCCGGGCCUGCAGCCGAUACGGGCAGACUAGAGUUCGGUAGGGGAGACUGGAAUUCCUGGUGUAGCGGUGAAAUGCGCAGAUAUCAGGAGGAACACCGGUGGCGAAGGCGGGUCUCUGGGCCGAUACUGACGCUGAGGAGCGAAGGCGUGGGGAGCGAACAGG